UACGUAGGGUGCAAGCGUUGUCCGGAAUUAUUGGGCGUAAAGAGCUCGUAGGCGGUUUGUCGCGUCUGCUGUGAAAUCCCGAGGCUCAACCUCGGGUCUGCAGUGGGUACGGGCAGACUAGAGUGCGGUAGGGGAGAUUGGAACUCCUGGUGUAGCGGUGGAAUGCGCAGAUAUCAGGAGGAACACCGAUGGCGAAGGCAGGUCUCUGGGCUGUAACUGACGCUGGAGGAGCGAAAGCAUGGGGAGCGAACAGG
rnacentral:rRNA from 1 species